UCAUAUUAAGAUACUGUGUGUGUGUGUGUGUGUGUGUGUGUUCUGUUGCAGCUUACAACUCAUUCAAAUGCCACCAGUGUGUUUUUGGAGUAUUUCUUCUUUCUAUUUCAUCUUUCGUCUGAGGAAACUUACAACUCAUUCAAGUGCCACCAGUGUGUUUUUGGAGUAUUUCUUCUUUCUAUUUCAUCUUUCGUCUGAAAUUUCUUCCCUUGCAACUGUUGGGGGCCAUGACACAAAACGUGUCACAUGGAACAUCCUUUCCCGCAUGUUCCAUGAUGAUGUUGGGAGGAGGAUCAACUGAAAGGACGUGAAUGGUAAAAAAGCAUUCAACCAGAUGGAGUCCAAGAAGUUCCUCCUGUGUGCUGUGAGAAAGAGCCAUGUAUCACGUGCUGCCACUGAUGAUGAAAUUACAAAACACACAAUACGGUGGUUCAGCCUGGCAGCUGAUAGGGGAAGCUCAAGGAACCGUCCCACUGUGAGCACCCAACAGUAGAGUUUCAGAGUUUCUUUGUUAACUUCAGUGUUUUGAAGUGUUAAUUUAAAAUAGCAACAGUUACAAUAAAAUGAAGAAGGUACAAGGUUACUGUUUUAAAUAAAUGUUUUUUUAUUAUUUGUUUCUAUUUUUCUAUUCAAAGAAUCUUCAAAAAAUCCAGUUUCUACAAAAAAAUUUUAGCAGUACAACUGUUAACAAAAAAAUGUUGCUCAAAUAUUUACUCUUAAUGUUGUAAAGUCUUAUUUUUCAUUAAAUAAAAAUGUUUUUGGUACGAUUUAUGGUUGCAUUUCAUUUUCUGUAAUAAUUCUAUUCAAUACCUAUUAAUGUACAUAAAUAAUUAAACUAUAAAAAUAGUAAUUACAGACUGUAAAUACAUUUACAGACUAUUUUUAUAGUUUUCUUGUAACUGGCUAAAGUUUUGAAUGAUUUUAUCAUGUUUUAUUAAUAUUAAUAAAGGCAGACAUUAAAUAUUCAAGCUUUUAUAGAGCAUAGUCUAUCUGAUGUUGGUCCAUUUAGAUUUUAAAUAUUUCUGUGUAGCCAGUUUUGGCCAGAAUACUAGUUGGAGAGUGAUCUGAAUGGUAUCCAGACCAAAUGACCCACUUAAUAAACGGGUCCA